rnacentral:rRNA from 1 species
GACAGAGGGGGCAAGCGUUGCUCGGAAUCACUGGGCGUAAAGGGCUCGUAGGCGGCCAACUAAGUCGGAUGUGAAAUCCCCAGGCUUAACCUGGGAACUGCAUCCGAUACUGGAUGGCUUGAAUCCGGGAGAGGGAUGCGGAAUUCCAGGUGUAGCGGUGAAAUGCGUAGAUAUCUGGAGGAACACCGGUGGCGAAGGCGGCAUCCUGGACCGGCAUUGACGCUGAGGAGCGAAAGCCAGGGGAGCAAACGGG